CAGAACCCUGAACUCUGGCCGGCUGGCCCAGCCCUGCUUCUGGCACUUUGGAGGCCAGCGGGCCCUUGACCACCUGCUGGGAUGGGAAAGGGAAGGGUCCACGAAUUGCACCCUAGAAACUUAGUAGGGUGCAUGGGUUUCAAAACCCGGUGGCCGCCCAGGCAGCAAACAAGGGAGGAGGGCACCCUGCUGCCCUUUCAUGGCAGCAUCUGUGGCUGUCCUGCUGAGGGGGCCUUUCCAUGGGGACCGUGUGCAGUACAAGUUUGGUGUUUUGGAACCGAAUAAUUAGAACGUGUAAAAAUUUUAAAUGAUGUGGUGGUUUGAUUCAAACAAAACAAAACCAAACAAAACAAAAAACCAAGCUCCAAGUUUUUUGCAAAUUUAGGUCUUAAUAUUGAAGGCCUGUGUUCCUUCCACUGUGGCAUUGUACGAAGAAAUGUGCGGGUUUUUUUUUUUUUUUAAUUUGUUUUUUGUUUUUCUUUUUUUUUAGAAAAGAUUCCGAAAAAUGAGGGAAACAGGAAGCCCAGAGGUGCCCCUGUAGUUUGGCGAAGGCCUUAGGAGGAAAUGUUGGUCUUCAGCGAUGUUCAAAGCCUGUGUAUUUCGGCUAGACUCUGGCUUCAGGUCGGUUCCCCCAAAAGGCUCAGAAGCGACCUGAACCAAACAGUCAACCUAGAAGAGAUCACGGAAGAGGUAAAGAAACUUAAAAUCCAUUAGCAAAGGCAGUUCAACCUCUCAAGAAACCUUGUGCUAGGCACAACACUCUUUUCUGGGGGUCCACUUUCCCUACAACCUCCUGAUCCCAUUCUGUACCCAUUCCUUUGCUUCUCCCAUCCUGAAACUGCCACCUGGAAGAAAGAACGACGUCGUUUUCCUUCAGAAAAUGCGAUUUCAUGCCACAUACCUUCUUUUAAUACCAAGUCAUACAUUUCCCUUCAGCAACCAAGAACUGACUUUUAUAUUGGCAUUCGACAGAUUGGUGAACAUACCUAUCAGUGAUAGUAGCGCCCCUCCCCUCCCCCGCACGCACGCACGCACACACACACACACACACACACACACACACACCCAAGAUCAGAACCAAACAAAACAAAAAAAAUUGCUUUCUUACGUUUCACAUGUCAGGAUGGUGCCAGACACUCUUAUUGGAUAGUCAAAAAUCUCUUUUGUUUCUGUGUAAAAGGGAGGUCCUUUCAAGGCGUGAAUGUUUCAGAACUUUAAUUUAUUUGGAAAUGACCCAGCUCUUCAGUACACUGUCGUCACUUAGUUUAGCACAGGAUAGAAACUCGGGUAACCAAAACACCUGGAGAAACGAUUGUAUGUUCAGUUCAGUUCAGUGGCUCAGUCGUGUCUGACUCUUUGGGACCCCGUGGCCUGCAGGACGCUGGGCUUCCGUGUCCAUCACCAACUCCAGGGGCUUGCUCAAACUCAUGUCCAUCGAAUCAGUGAUGCCAUCCAACCAUCUUAGCCUCUGUCGUCCCCUUCUCCUCUGCCUUCAAUCAAGACUCUCAUAGGCAGAUAUUUUCGAGUGUAAUUAGUGUUCAUAGUUUAUCUAAAAGCUCAUAUCAC
ensembl:lncRNA